UUCCAUACCAAGUAAUAUAGGCAGUUGCAACAUCCAUGAACAGCUGUUAAUUGGAGCACAGUGCAUCUGCAGUGUCAAAUCUACAGAGACAAGUGCACCUGGAGACAAAUGACCAGACUACCAUAAAACAGAAGCUUAAUUAUGUUCACUUACAUUUUCAAAUUAUUCCCAACAAAUUACCCUGUUUUGCCAGGUAGAAGAAGCAGAGUGGAGAGAGGACAUUCCAAAUAAAAUGAAUGCUGAUCCUGCAUUGAGUGCAAGCAAAAAACUGUCAAGUUUUCCCUGGAUCUUUGGGCUUUCAUUUCUGAAGUCUCCUGUGUCAUGUAAAACUUUGUUAAAUAAAUUUGUUAUGCUUUU
rnacentral:lncRNA from 1 species